UACGAAGGGGGGCUAGCGUUGUUCGGAAUUACUGGGCGUAAAGCGCACGUAGGCGGAUUGUUAAGUUAGGGGUGAAAUCCCAGGGCUCAACCCUGGAACUGCCUUUAAUACUGGCAAUCUCGAGUCCGAGAGAGGUGAGUGGAAUUCCGAGUGUAGAGGUGAAAUUCGUAGAUAUUCGGAAGGAACACCAGUGGCGAAGGCGGACUACUGGCACUGUAUGACGCUGAGGUGCGAAAGCGUGGGGAGCAAACAGGG
rnacentral:rRNA from 1 species